UACAUUAUCCCUUUUGCAGACGAUUGUUGCGGAGAAUAAACUUUAUGAAUUUAUGCUGGGCGCCUGAUAUUGAUGUUGUUAAAAAAAAUAUGAGAUAUCGGGAAUCAGCUUUUCUACAUUA
rnacentral:ncRNA from 1 species